UACAGAGGUCUCAAGCGUUGUUCGGAUUCAUUGGGCGUAAAGGGUGCGUAGGUGGCGGGGCAAGUCAGGUGUGAAAUCUCGGGGCUCAACCCCGAAACUGCACUUGAUACUGCUUUGCUCGAGUACUGGAGAGGAGACUGGAAUUUACGGUGUAGCGGUGAAAUGCGCAGAUAUCAGGAGGAACACCGGUGGCGAAGGCGGGUCUCUGGGCCGUAACUGACGCUGGAGGAGCGAAAGCGUGGGGAGCGAA
rnacentral:rRNA from 1 species